AAGCUGCACACCUGGCUGCUGAGAACAAGGCAGGAAAUGGUACAAGCUUUACAUUUUUAGAUUCAUUCUUCAUCUAAUGUAGUGUUCCUAAACUCUUACUAUGAGUAAAGGAAAAAUAUCCUUAUCCUGCACCAAAUCCCAAGAAAUCUGCUCUUUGAAAGAUACUUUCUUUGAAUUUUAGUGGAGAGAAUCAUCUUCCAUUGCUUAACAUUGAAGACAAAGAAGUCCUUUGGGGUGAGUUACACCGUUUUACAGAGGGAAGGCAGAGUUGUGGUGACAAGUUCCAUGUGAUAUCUGCAUCCUGCCUGCUCCAGGUGACACCUUAGAUUUGAAUACCAUUAAGGUCAUACUUCAAUCCAGUAGAGGCUUGGAUCUCCGUUUUCAUCUCUCUGACUUCUUAUAAAGCAAGCCACUGUGACAUGUGCCUUUGCACAAAUCCAUGAAGUUAAGAGGAGGAUCUCUGUGAAGGCUUCAGAUUUAAGCGCCGCAGAGGGGAGGCAGGAGAUGG